rnacentral:rRNA from 1 species
GGCGGCAUGCCUAACACAUGCAAGUCGAACGGUAACAGGCCCGCAAGGGUGCUGACGAGUGGCGGACGGGUGAGGAAUACAUCGGAAUUUGCCCAGUCGUGGGGGAUAACGUAGGGAAACUUACGCUAAUACCGCAUACGACCUAACGGUGAAAGCGGGGGAUCGCAAGACCUCGCGCGGAUGGAUAAGCCGAUGUCGGAUUAGCUAGUUGGCGGGGUAAAGGCCCACCAAGGCGACGAUCCGUAGCUGGUCUGAGAGGAUGAUCAGCCACACUGGGACUGAGACACGGCCCAGACUCCUACGGGAGGCAGCAGUGGGGAAUAUUGGACAAUGGGGGCAACCCUGAUCCAGCAAUGCCGCGUGUGUUAAGAAGGCCUUCGGGUUGUNAAGCACUUUUAUCCGGAACGAAACGCGCAGGGUGAAUAUCCUUGCGAACUGACGGUACCGGA